ACAAGCUCCUCCUUGGUCUUGAAAAUGUCCGAGGAAAUUGUCUUCAGUCUUUUUUAAAUAAGAAAAUUGAAAAUAAAUAAAUAAUUUCUAGUACUACAUGUUACAUGAAAUGAGGUAUACAUUCCAGUAGUGAAGAUCAGCAACCAUCAAUCUCUUUAUCCCUCCCUUCUCUCUUUUUAUAUCUAUACAGAUCUCAGUAAACCUAGUAUUGAUGCU